GGUUCAUGUUAAAAGUUCAGUGUGAAGCUUGAUAAGUGUUUUACUUGGAUAAAGGAUUUGAAGGUUGAAGUUAAAUGGUGGUUUUGUAACUGGAGCUACAGGAUUCUGUUGAGUGACAUUGGUUGCUUAUCUGUUGAAGCACCAAAUGAUCAUUAACUCCCGCUGGAGAAACAAACACAUUGUAUGAAGGAGGAUUAUCCAGCAGUGGUGGUACGCCCCAAAAAGAUGGUUUUAGGUGCGUACCAGCACUGCUGGAUAAAAGAUAUCAGCAUUUUAAGUAAUCCAGUUAAUGGGAGUUGGAAGCUGUUUGUGCAAUCUGUAUCAAAUAGUAGCCAAGGUAAAUGUAUUCUGAAAGAUUCGUUGGGCAUCGUCUCACUCAAACUCGACCAACAUCAUCUCGUUGAAGGAUAAGGGAUUUGAGGAUACAAAAAAUUGAAGGUAAAAGAUGGUUCAGUAAUUGGAGGUACAGGAUUAUGUUAGAAUG